UGAUUGACUAAUUCUGUGUAUUUUCAGUGUGCUGGGAUAUUGGCAACUCCCAUUUGUCGUGAUGUCCCAUCGGAUGGCUAAACCAAGACAUAGAACUGUGCCCAGCACCCUGUGAGAGGCACAGCCCCAGACAACACUUUAUGUUCUCAGAUUAGACAGUGGAAUGUGUUCCAGAACAUUUAUGCUACAAUGGAAAGGAGACAACCAAGGAGAAAGAGCUGCCUAGCAUCACCCAAAUCUAAAGUGUAUCAGUGGUUGUGAUUGUGGAAAACCAUGUAGCAGGUUUCAGCAGGAUUGCUUCCUUCUUUCACACGUGGACAGCCUUCAGCAUGGACCAAAUCACUCAGCAGAGAUUUUAAAUGAGAAUAAGAG
rnacentral:lncRNA from 1 species